rnacentral:rRNA from 1 species
AGUGAACGCUGGCGGUAGGCCUAACACAUGCAAGUCGAACGGCAGCACAGUAAGAGCUUGCUCUUACGGGUGGCGAGUGGCGGACGGGUGAGGAAUACAUCGGAAUCUACUUUUUCGUGGGGGAUAACGUAGGGAAACUUACGCUAAUACCGCAUACGACCUACGGGUGAAAGCAGGGGAUCUUCGGACCUUGCGCGAUUGAAUGAGCCGAUGUCGGAUUAGCUAGUUGGCGGGGUAAAGGCCCACCAAGGCGACGAUCCGUAGCUGGUCUGAGAGGAUGAUCAGCCACAAUGGAACUGAGACAAGGUCCAGACUCCUACGGGAGGCAGCAGUGGGGAAUAUUGGACAAUGGGCGCAAGCCUGAUCCAGUCAUACCGCGUGGGUGAAGAAGGCCUUCGGGUUGUAAAGCCCUUUUGUUGGGAAAGAAAAGCAGCAGGUUAAUACCCCGCUGUUCUGACGGUACCCAAAGAAUAAGCACCGGCUAACUUCGUG